CACCAGAGCUUCAAUUACGCCAGCCACGUUUAAUAUUCACAAUUAAGUCUGCGUCAACACCACAACUAUAAAUUCAUCUCUUACACAUGCUCUUUCCCUCACUCCCCAGUUCCCACUACUCUCCGAUCUCUUCCCUCAAGGUAAGCUAUUUUUUUAUUUUAAAUAACAUCUUUUCCUAUUCAAUUAUCAAUCGAUAUAUCUAAUUAUAGUGUAUUUUGUUGAAUUAAAAUCGAUCCAUCGAUCAAUUAAUCUGAUGUAGAAAACUGUCACGAUCAUAAUUUCCAAAUAUUGGCAACAAGAAGGAAUUUAUGAUCGUGACAGUUUUCUUGGUAUCAGAGCCAUUUCUAGGCGUUCAUCAAUAUAACUUUCCAGGUUACUUUAAACAUAAUUAAUCAAGUCACAUGCCAUUAUAUACUAAUCCACUUCAAUAUUAAGAAUACUUUUAGUACAUGACUAUUUCAACUUGACAAUCAAACAAACGGACAAAUCCAAAAGAAAACAUAUAUGCUAAAAAGAAACUCUUUACAUAAAUCUGCCAAACAAUAACAUUCAUCUUUCAAAAUUCACACAUCUACAAAUAAUUACUCAAAUCUCAUAAAUUUUUAAUACAACCUUUUAAUAUGAACAUAUUACUUGGAAUAAAAAUAUGGAAUCGUUUCGAUAUAUAAAAAAAAUAAUUAAACAAUUGUUUUACUCCAUCCGACCAGAUUUCAGAAAGAAAUCCCAAAACAAUCUACGUCAGACUUCCUGAGCAUUUUUCACCAUAUUAGCCUCAUAAUUUAAAGUAUUUCUAAACAUAGAAAUUAUAGUUCAUAAUGUCUAUUUUCUAAAACAAGUAAAUUCAUCAAGAUAUGUUGAGUAACGAGUCUUCUAUGAUUUUUCUAUGAUAUCCACGCAAACAGAAAGGUAGCAGUAAAAUUAUACUGGAUAUCUGAAUAUAACUACGUUGAAUAAAUUAUUCAGAAUUAAUUACCUAACAGUAAAUUCCGAAAUUUAUAUAUGGUGUUAUAUCUUGAGUAUUCUAACUACCAUAAAAUUUUCAAUAAAUAUUAUUAAGUCUAGAAGAAUCAAAACCUUGCGAUACUAAAACGGUACAGAAACCAAAAACUGCAACGGUUAUCAUACUUGCAAGUCGUUUUCCACCAAAAUAAAAUAACUUUCGUAAAUUGGUCUUAACUAAUCGAAUGAAGACAUUCCAAUAUAGUGUUCAGGGUUUUUGGAAUCAAAUUAAAAGCUUUUCAAACGAAUUUUCUAUGAUUUUUCAAAGAUGAGUAAAAAAAUCUGAAAUCACAGAAACAAAAAUAGAAACAAAAUCGUCUACUCACAGUUAUACCCCACGUCUAAAAUCAAAACCAACAGCAAACAUAUCCCAUAUACCCCACCACUAAAGUCAAACUCAUAUAGUUUAAUUAAAUUAAACUAAUUUAACAAAAUAACAUCCACUCACCUGCUGUAAGUACACAUCAUGAAACGCUAUAGUCUCCAAAGAUUUCCACUCCUCCAUCAUCAUCAUAGCAACGGUGGCAUGUUUCCUACUCAAAGCAUCUGCAACUACAUUACCCUUCCCAGGCUGAUACUGAAUCUGAAAAUCAUAAUUGCUAAUGAACUCCAUCCAUCUCUGCUGCCUCAUGUUCAAAUCCUUCUGAGAGAACAAUUACUUUAGGCUCUUGUGGUCGGUAUAAAGAUCAAACUUCUCCCUAUAUAAAUAGUGACGCCAAAUCUUCAAAGCAAACACCACAGCUGCCAAUUCUAAAUCGUGUAUUGGAUAUCUUCGCUCAUGUUGCUUCAACUGUCUAGAAGCAUAAGAGACCACUCUCCCAUCCUGCAUCAAAACACAACCAAGUCAUGUACCACUAGCAUCUGUGAAUACCACAAGCUUGCCUCCUCUAACCGGUAUAACUAACACUGGCGCUGUAGUUAACCUCUGCUUAAGCUCCUGGAAAGCUCUCUCGCAAUCGUCAGUCCACAAGAACUUCACAUUCUUCCUCGUAAGUCUGGUCAAUGGCUCAGCUAUAAGCGAGAACUUCUCAAUGAAACGACGGUAAUAUCCAGCUAAUCCCAAAAAGCUUCGAAUCUCUGUAGGGUUGGUUGGUUGUUUCCAAUCCCUAACUGCAGUAACCUUCUCAGGGUCAACGGCAAUGCCCUCUCUGGAUAUCACGUGACCUAAGAAAUGCACCUCAUUCUUCCAGAAAUGACAUUUGCUAAACUUAGCAUAUAGUUUGUGAUCUCUCAAUAUCUGCAACACUGUCUUCAAAUGUUUCGCAUGCUCCUGAGCAUCCUUAGAAUACACCAAAAUAUCAUCAAUGAAUACGAUCACAAACUUAUCAAGAUAAGGCCUGAAAAUCCGGUUCAUCAAAUCCAUGAAAAAUGCUGGAGCAUUAGUUAACCCAAAAGGCAUUACUGGAAACUCCUACAAUCCAUAUCGUGUUUUGAAAGCAGUCAGUGGUAUAGUCUUCUCCUCUACACCCAUCUGAUGGUAACCCGUCCUCAAAUCAAACUGAGAAAACACGGCUGCUCCUUUCAACUGAUCAAGCAAAUCAUCUAUUCUCGGCAGUGGAUAUUUGUUCUUGACCGUCACCUUAUUCAACUCACGGUAAUCAAUGCACAUCCUUAAAGUUCCAUCCUUCUUAGAGACAAAGAUAGCUGGAGCUCCCCAUGGAGAAUUGCUUGGACGUAUGAACCUGUGGUUCAUACACACCUCAAAAGGCUCACACAUAUACACCAAAAGAAUAAACUACAUCAAAUAUCACAUACCCUUUCUUAAGGAACUCCUCCAACUGGGUCUUCAUCUUUUCCAACUGCUUAGGCGCCAUCCUGUAUGCAGUCUUAGAAAUAGGUGCCGUUCCUGGCAACAAAUCAAUACGGAACUCCACCUCUCUCUUGGGUGGUAAACCCGGAAUCUCCUCAAACACAUCUAGAUAAUCCUUAACUAUCGCCACAUCACUAAUAUCGAUCGACUGGACAUCCAUAGACAUCAAAAAGCUGGACAUAAUCGAAUCAUCCCUACUAACACAAUUGUGUACCAAUGUGGGUAAACCAGCUGGUGUAUCCACUAUAACUCUCCUUCCAGCACAAUCCAAAAUAACAUGAUAGCGACUCAACCAAUCAAAACCCAAAAUAAACUGAUAGCCCUCAAAAUCUAAAACAACCAGAUCGAUAACAAACUGUCUACCCAUGAAUAUCAGAACAAAGUUCUUACACUGGUAAAACAAACAAGUCGACCCUCCCAUAGGUGUCCGAAGAUAUAAAGGUUGGGGUAAAGGUGUAGUCGCAAUCUGAUACUUAUCUACUAAUUGCUUAGCAAUAAAUGAAUGUGAUACACCAGAAUCAAAUAACACUCGGAAUCUAAAUUGAGAACAAUCAAAAGUACCUUCCAAUCCCUGAACUGCAGGCAAAACAGCAAAGGCUCUCCCUCGGUUCGGCUGAUGUGCUGGCCUUCCCUGGUUGUUGUUCACUGGUCGACGACACUCAGCAGAACGAUGUCCUGGUCCUCCACAGUUCCAACAGCUACCCCUGAUCGGCCCUGCUAAUGCUCCUGGCGCUGGUAACUGUAAAGGUGCUGGCCUAUAAGGCAAACCUGGGGCAGGUUGCCCUGGUGCUGGUGGUGGUGGUGGCGCUCUUGCUCUCGCUCGGUUGUCACCACGCCCAUACCCACCACGGUGUCUGAAACCCUGGUUAUCUCCCGGUGGCCUGUUGUAACCCUGGUUCCUCUCUGGGUUGUUGUCAUAACGUCGACCCCUGAAGUUAGGAUCAUAAGGCUUGUGUCUAUUCCUGUCUCUGAAGUUAUCACCUGUCUUUUUGCUCUUCUCGGUUCUAAACUCCUGUUCCUUCUCCUCAUACUUCAUUGCGAGGUUCAGAACUCUAUCAAAUGGCUCGUGCUCAAAUGGAAUCAGUUGCUUUGAUACCAAGAAAACUGUCACGACCCUAAUAUCCAUAAAUUGGCAAAAAGAGAGAAUUUACGAAAUUACCCUCAAUAAGCCAAUAAAAGGAAAAAGGAUUGGGACAGUGAUCUAAAUAAACAUUUGCACAAGGUAAAAAUCCAUUAAAGACAAAUACUUCCAUAGACAAAUUGAACUCCAAUAAGUUUCCAUAAAUAAUCUGAAAAACUCCAAAUACUGAAUUACACAACUCCAAUAAUAAAAUUCAACAGUUUCUACUGAGGUAUUGUCUUCCCCAUCAAUAAUAAUCCAAUAAAUGAAAUAAUGAACUUGAGUAAUCAACUGACAACGAAUCAAAGAACUAAACCUACUGUGAAAGAUAACUCCUGCAAAUCUCAAACUCCCUCCCGAACAACUGGAUCUACACGAGCCUCCGGGUGUUGCUCCUGAGCGUACUCAACCGGCUCCUCUCUUCCGCCUACGCUCCAUAAGGAUACGUACCCACGUGCAAAACAAGCAACAUGGGUCAGCAAAUUAUGCUGGUAUGAGUGGACAAGGUUAGGGAACUCCAUUCCCAAAAACAAUAAAAUAACAGACUCCGCGGUCUUUCUAUAUUUAUCUCGUUUACUAAAUAAAUAUCAUAUAUUAUAGUGAUACAUUACCUGAGCUGCACCUCCUAUUAGGAUAGGUCGAGCCCUGCAAGAAAUGUUAAUUGACCUAUCCUCCUGCAAAACUGUGUUAGUACAACAAGAUAUAAUUCAUGGCAUCUCAAGUCUCGACACUAUAUCUCAAUCACUGCAAAUCAAUCAUUACACUCAAACAACACUUCACAACCUAUACCCAAUCACUAGUACACCUCCCACAGGAUGCACUCCACACAUUUGCCAUACCCACACUGCACCAGUGUGCCUUGACUAUGGUUAAGACCCUCUACGCGGAAACCAAAACCCAAGUGGGUGCUCACCUGCAAGCUUUGGCUAGCCUCGACGUAUGCCUAACUCAUGGCCUCUACUAGCUCCCUUGAGCUUUCUAAUGUGGCGCCCAGACCAACCCCGAAGGCUAUGAAGGUCUGUAGGGUCAGUUCCGCAGGCUAAGCCGUCUAGGAAAUACCCAACAAAAAUAUAUUCCAAAUGUCAACCCGCAGGCUAAGCCAUCUAGGGUGAUAUCUAAUUUCUUAAUCCUAAUUCCACAAGUGCGACAAAUGUACUAAUGGUUGGGCGACUACCAAACAUCCAAACUAUCAAUCAAUCAAGUAACUCUCGACAAUAAAAUUUCACAUCAACUUCACAUCAAAUUCAUUUGCAUUCCUUCCGUAUUUUCUACAUUAAUCAAAUACCGUCCAUGGUAUAUAUAGCCAUUCCAAGGCAUUCAACAAUAAAUUCCUCGAAUUUAAUAUUAACACAUUUUAUAUUUCUUUCAAAAUAAAAAUACUAUCUACUAUACAGUCAGAAACAAAAUACAUUCAGCAAAUAAUAUUUACUGUACCCAUAAAACUAUAUAACUUUCUUUAACCCCAGUUUCAUUAAAAUUAUAUUUUUCGGUGUAUAUAUUUCUAGUCCACAUAUAUAUGAAUACUAAUCCAAAAGCGAUCUCAAAAACUCGACAAUUUGGAUACAUGUACAGUACUACCAUUUACCUUCUAUUAUAAUUUCCAUGUUAUCAACAGUGUACUCAAACCAUACAAAUCAAAUAAAUAAUAAUAAAAUUCUAAUUAACCCCACCUAACCAGCAGAUGCAUUCAAAACCAUUUCUUCCUACUAACCAAACUAUCACAGCACUUAUAAGCUAUAUAUAUAGAUUACUCAAUCAACCAUUACUUUCACCAAACAUAACUAUAUAUGCAUAUAAAUAUAUAUAGACCCACUCACAGUUAUACCCACGUCUAAAAUCCAAAAACCAACAGCAAACAUAUCCAUGUUAUCAACAGUGUAUACAUUAAAAUAAGAAUAUCAUCUACUUAAAAGUAUAUCCACUCACCUGCUACACUGUUGAUCUUCUUCUUCCUCUUUUAUUAUUAUUUUUUUUUUUCUGCUCUGCAACACCGUCACAAUUUGCCGACACCAACACUGCUUCUAAACUCAGCAGCACCGCCACUCUCUCUCUCUCUCUCUCUCUCUCUCUCUCUCUCUCUCUCUCUCUCUCUCUCUCUCUCUCUCUCUCGUUGUUGAUCGCAAAACUUUCUCUACUUCGAUCACAGCGCCGCUUUCUCUCUCUCUUAGUGUGCGAACAAAACCCUCGAUAGUUGCUACCCAUCUCUAUAUAAUAGUGAGUAAGUAUUGGUGUUAGUCCCACAUUGCUAAGGAAGUGGUUGUAUUGGUAGUAUAUAGAGCUUAACCAUACUCUAACUAAUGUCAAGGCCUUUUGGGGUAAACCACAUGGGUGGGCCCUGAUCCAAAACCCUCUACUGCUGGAUAUCCGCAGUGACUAAAGGGGGACAAUAUUGACAUUAGCGAGCGGUAUGGUGCUCGACGCACCGGGAUGAGCGAGGACGAAAUCCUGGGGCGUUACAGUUGGUAUCAGAGCCGACGACGGGUCGCCUGUUGCAGGUGGGAAGUACGUUGGAAAGGCCUAGGGAGCGCCAGGUACUUGUCUCACUUGGCAGGGAACGUCGGAGAUUUUGGGACUGUACUGAGUGUACUGCAGAGCCGAGGACGGCUCUAUUUCUAAGGUGGUGAGAUUGUAACACCCAUGAGUUGGUGUUAGUCCCACAUUGCUAAGGAAGUGGUUGUAUUGGUAGUAUAUAGAGCUUAACCAUACUCUAACUAAUGUCAAGGCCUUUUGGGGUAAACCACAUGGGUGGGCCCUGAUCCAAAACCCUCUACUGCUGGAUAUCCGCAGUGACUAAAGGGGGACAAUAUUGACAUUAGCGAGCGGUAUGGUGCUCGACGCACCGGGAUGAGCGAGGACGAAAUCCUGGGGCGUUACGUUGUUGUUGUUUUGUUGUUAUUGUUUUUUUCUUAUUAGAUUGAAGAAGAUGGGAAGGAGUUGUCCAACAGUGACAAAGGGAUCACAAAAAAAAAAAAACACACGAGAGAAUCACUAAUCCAUAAUUUGUUUUUUUUAAGAGAAAGAGAUUCUUUCAAUCAAUGGAAGCCCCCCUGGUGAGUUAAAUUUUUUUGAGGUCGUAUUUACAGAUAAUUUUUAUUUUGUAAAGUGAUACUAUUGGAUUUUUCGUUGGAUUAUUUCCUUAAUUUUGCAUCAAUUGACUUGCAUCAACACUCAACGAGGAAGAGAAAAAUUGAUGUUCCAUAUCUCUUUAGCCCCAGAAGCUAAGGUAGUAUAUCUGACUUAUUUAUCAAUUUUGUGUUGGAUUUAUAUACGCUUGAUUCUUAUGCUUGAUGAUGGUGAGGAGUUUAAUUAAGUUUUAUGAAACUUUUGAUAUUUUGUCUUGAUUAUAUAGGUGAAAGCAAAGGGUUCCAUAGAUUUACAAGUACAGUUUGGGUGAUUGCUUUUAGUUUGAUGAUGGGUUCAAUUCGUGUUGGCUUUAAGUUUCAACUCUAGGUAAGUGUUAGUAGACCUAUAACCUUAAUUGGCCAAUAACAAUAUUUCAUAACAACAUGAUUUCUACAUAUUUUAAGAUGGAAGAUGGAUUAAUAUUGAAUUAUUUUCUUUUGAUAUUAAUGUUACAUUUGGAUUUUAUUUAAGUUUUUGUUUUUUGUUUGAAUCAGUGUAAUCCAUUACUUAUUUUUAGUCUUUGUGUAAUGAAUAUAUCACCUUUUAAAUAAGAAGGCUUCUACCUCUACGAUGAGUCAAUGAGACGUCCAGGUUCCAUUCUUACGAACGUAUAUCUUUUUUUAACCUAGCUCAACGGGCUGACCUGACCCUCUUUUUUAAGUGCAGUUAGUCAUCAUUCUACGAAACAUCAAAAAAAGUUUUGAUUUUAUUUGCUUCAACUUGCUAAUGUUAAUUUGUAAGUAAAUAUAUUUUGUUUUUCCCAGGACUAUGCAAUAGAGAGACACUUUCGAGGAAAAAAAAUAUAAGCUGGAGAUGGAAAGAAAUUACGUUAUGUGUAAUCCAUUGUUUACAUUUUGAUUUUACUGAAGUUUUUGUUAUUUGUUAUAAAUCGAUAAAAAUUAGUGUAAUAUAUUGCUUACUUUUUGUCUUUUUGUAUCACCUUUUAAUAAGAAGGCUUCUACCUCUACUUGAAUUGAGGCCUCCGAGUUCCAUUCUUAUAAACAUAAAACAUAUAUAUGUUCUGACCUUGACCCUCUUUCUAAAGUUAGUCCUCAUCCUAUGAGGCAUCAAAAGAGGUUUGUGGGUAAAUAUAUAUAUAUAUUUUUUUUGCAGGACUAUGCAAUAGAGAAACACUUUUGAGGGAAAAAAAAAGAUAAGCUGGAGUUGGAAAUAAGUUGCAGAGUGUUCAGAUGUUCUACUAUGCUUCCUUCUAUGUGAGUUCAUGCCAGUCUCAACAGGCUAUAUGACAGAUCGCAGUUCAACAAAUUUCGCAAGGUACAACACACGAGUAAGGGGAGGGAGUAAGACUACAAAUGAUCAGCACCCCGACAAGAAUGAAGUCUGCAGCGGGUUAGGGACUGUGGAAGAGCCACAUAUGAUCAUUACUGACUCAUACAGUUAUACAUUAGGGACUGUAUAAGAGCCACAUGAUCAUUACUGAUCAUAAAGUUAUACAUUAUCAUGUACUCGCUAUUUUUGAGUUUGUUUUAACUUUUUAGGUGAACAUCUAACACAUUGGAAAUGAGAAACAUGUAGUCGAUGUAAGUCAGUUGCAGAUUAUAUGUACUGAUGCAUAUGCAUAAAGAUAGCAUGUGCAAGGCACAUGCCUCAUAGUUCCUGCAGAUUUCUAUAUGGAUUAGAACAUCCCUAGUAGUAGUUUCUAUUUACUUAGCUUUCUAGUUUAGUUAGGAUUAAGUUUAGGCUAUUAUAAAUAGGGGAUUACAAACCUUAUUGAAGAGGUGAGAUUGAAGAUUUGUUUAUGUCUUGAGACAUUAAAUUCGUUUUUGUG
rnacentral:lncRNA from 1 species